UCCAGUAGGCUAUAUCACCCUGUAGCUUUCAACUGGAUACCCACUGAAAUUAAGCAGGGUUGAGCCUGGUCAGUAUAAUAAUGGGAGACCUCCUGGGAAGCUAUGGUUGCUGCUGGAA
rnacentral:rRNA from 1 species